CUAUCCAGUUUAUAGCAUCACAAUUACAGUGGAAACCUGACUAUUCUGGGAAGGGCUUUAGUGCCUGAUCCACAUAAUAUUUGAUACCUCCCUCUGGAUCGAAAAGUCCCAAAGUCAACGUCCAGGAUCCAAAUAUUUUCUAACUGCCUUUUCAGCCGACAGCCGGAGUCAGCCAUCAGAGGUUUAACUGGACUGUGUGCAGCUGACAGACCACAGAACGGUUAACCUUCAGGUCACCUGAGCAUUUAGGCUGCUGUUCUGUUUACAGCUCCCAAAAUGUCUUCUUUUCCCAGAGGCUACAUCAUCCUGGCUUUUUGAUGUAUUGGAAGGACGGAGUGUUACAAAGAACUUGCUAUAUAGAAAAUAUUGGGAGAUGGACAGAAAAAGCUAAGAUGAAAAAGAUGUGAUGCACUCCUUCAAAGAAACUCACCAUCUUAUAGGAAACAUUCAUUCUUUCUUUCAUCCAAGUAUUCAGCAUUUAUUUCACACUCUGUGAAAGAUGUUGGGAAUAAAGAGAUGAAAAAGCAUAAUUUUUGCCUGUCUUCAAGGAUCUUUUUUACUGAAGAGAUAGAUAAGUAGUUUAAAACUGAUAAAUGUGUGGUGAGUGGAAAGCCCUGAGAACUAUGGUGGGUUGGGUGUCAGGGGAGGUUUCUCAGAGGGAAUGACUUUUAGUUUGAGUUCUCUACAUAAAUAAUUAAAGGGGUGAAUGAAAGUGUGAUGUGUAUGGUCUGAGGACUGAGAAUGAGGGAUAGAUGGCAGAUGGCAUUCAGUAAGAAAUGAUUUUAACAGACCUGAGCACCAUAUUUUGGGCACCAUAUCUUGGGCACCAUAUCACCUCAGUAUCAACAGAAGACUUUUUCUUAGUAUUAACUGAAUAUUCAGUUUCUCUUGCAUAUUUGUGGAGAAUUUUUGUCAGGGGCUUGUUCAAAGGUUAGCCCUCAUAGAGGCAAACCGUAAGAGAUUCUUAACUAUAGAGAACAAACUGAGGGUUGCUGGAGGGGUG